rnacentral:rRNA from 1 species
UACAGAGGGUGCAAGCGUUGUUCGGAAUUAUUGGGCGUAAAGGGCUCGUAGGCGGUUUGUCGCGUCGGGAGUGAAAACUCAGGGCCCAACCCUGAGCGUGCUUCCGAUACGGGCAGACUAGAGGUAUGCAGGGGAGAACGGAAUUCCUGGUGUAGCGGUGGAAUGCGCAGAUAUCAGGAGGAACACCGGUGGCGAAGGCGGUUCUCUGGGCAUUACCUGACGCUGAGGAGCGAAAGCAUGGGGAGCGAACAGG